rnacentral:sRNA from 1 species
AGCAGCCGCGGUAAUUCCAGCUCCAAUAGCGUAUAUUAAAGUUGUUGCAGUUAAAAAGCUCGUAGUUGAAUUUCGGGAUUAAUUUACUGGUCGUGCUAUUGUACGUACUGGUUUUAUUGAUUCCUCCCUUCUGACGAACCAUGAUGUCAUUAAUUUGGUGUCUUAGGGAAUCAGGACUGUUACUUUGAAAAAUUAGAGUGUUUAAAGCAGGCUCACGCUUGAAUACAUUAGCAUGGAAUAACGGAAUAGGACGUUUGAUUCUAUUUUGUUGGUUUCUAGGAUCGACGUAAUGAUUAAUAGGGAUAGUUGGGGGCAUUAGUAUUCAAUUGUCAGAGGUGAAAUUCUUGGAUUUAUUGAAGACUAACUACUGCGAAAGCAUUUGCCAAGGAUGUUUUCAUUAAUCAAGAACGAAAGUUAGGGGAUCGAAGACGAUCAGAUACCGUCGUAGUCUUAACCAUAAACUAUGCCGACUAGGGAUCGGAUGAUGUUAAUUCUUAAUGACUCAUUCGGCGCCUUACGG